rnacentral:rRNA from 1 species
AGAGUUUGAUCAUGGCUCAGAACGAACGCUGGCGGCGCGUUUAAGCAUGCAAGUCGAGCGGCAAGGGCCUUCGGGCCCUAGAGCGGCGGACGGGUGAGUAACACGUGGACAAUCUGCCCCCCGGCCCGGGAUAGCCCAGGGAAACCUGGAUUAAUACCGGAUGAGACGGGACCCGCGAUGGCGGGACCCGGGAAAGGCGCUGCGGCGCCGCCGGGGGAUGAGUCUGCGUCCCAUUAGCUAGACGGCGGGGUAACGGCCCACCGUGGCGACGAUGGGUAGCCGGCCUGAGAGGGUGGACGGCCACAUUGGAACUGAGACACGGUCCAGACUCCUACGGGAGGCAGCAGCUAAGAAUCUUCCGCAAUGGGCGAAAGCCUGACGGAGCCGACGCCGCGUGAACGAAGAAGGCCGUGAGGUUGUAAAGUUCUUUUCGGGAGGGGGAACAACCGUGGCAGGGAAUGGCCGCGGGAUGACGUGAAUCCCGGAAUAAGCCCCGGCUAACUACGUGCCAGCCGCUGC